rnacentral:rRNA from 1 species
GAUGAACGCUAGCGGCAGGCCUAAUACAUGCAAGUCGGACGGGAUUGAGGGGCUUGCCCUUCAUGAGAGUGGCGCACGGGUGCGUAACACGUAUGUAACCUACCUUAGUCAGGGGGAUAGCCUCUCGAAAGAGAGAUUAAGACCGCAUAACAUCAUUUUGUGGCAUCGCAGAAUGAUCAAAUAUUUAUAGGACUAAGAUGGGCAUGCGGAACAUUAGCUAGUUGGUGUGGUAACGGCAUACCAAGGCGACGAUGUUUAGGGGAUUUGAGAGGAUGACCCCCCACACUGGUACUGGGACACGGACCAGACUCCUACGGGAGGCAGCAGUAAGGAAUAUUGGUCAAUGGACGGAAGUCUGAACCAGCCAUGCCGCGUGCAGGAAGACGGCCCUAUGGGUUGUAAACUGCUUUUGCAGGGGAAUAAACCUUCUUACGUGUAGGAAGUUGAAUGUACCUUGAGAAUAAGGAUCGGCUAACUCCGUGCCAGCCGCCGCUGUAACAC